UACGUAGGGUGCAAGCGUUAAUCGGAAUUACUGGGCGUAAAGCGUGCGCAGGCGGUUUUGUAAGACAGAGGUGAAAUCCCCGGGCUCAACCUGGGAACUGCCUUUGUGACUGCAAGGCUUGAGUGUGGCAGAGGGGGAUGGAAUUCCGCGUGUAGCAGUGAAAUGCGUAGAUAUGCGGAGGAACACCGAUGGCGAAGGCAAUCCCCUGGGCCAACACUGACGCUCAUGCACGAAAGCGUGGGGAGCAAACAGG
rnacentral:rRNA from 1 species